CCUUCCAGCCUAUCAUUGAUCAGAUCAGCAGCUUCAGAUUGGAAGUAGCCUCCUGCUACCAGGAAGUAGCUGCAGCCGGGUGGAGAAUCAUCCAGUGUGUGUGUGUGUGUGUGUGUGUUCUUGUCUGCAGCACAUCACGUGACCAACUUCACCAUGUUCACCCACAAAUUGAGGUUAUAGUGGAAAGUGAGGACAUCUUCCUGGUCCUCAGUCUUGCUGCGAUUUGCUAGUCAGGUUUAGAGGUUUGGAGCGAAAAAAUGUUUGAGUAUGCUUAGGGUGAGGAACAGACUAGUGAUGGUGAAAGAAAAUGCCUGGGUAAGGCACGAAGCUAAUGAUGCUAAUGACUAGAAGUUAAUAUAAAAUCCUAAUAUGGGUAGAAAUUAGUGCUGAGACUUUAAUUUUACUGAUUUUAAUGCAUUUGCAAUACUGGCACACCUGUUAAUCUGAUGUACAAGCAACAUCUGCAAACAGCAAUGUAUGAUGAACCUGCUUCUCAGUUUCUGCUUCUAAACGAUCUGAUUGGAGAUCGUUUAGAUGUUGUUGUUGAACAACAACUUGUCAUGCUACAAGGUCCAAGUUGUGCUAAAAGCAGUUAGUCCAUCAGCAAAGCUAUUAAAGCCUAAAAUAGCAUAUGAAUGCUAACAUGUAGCAGAAGUACAGAUGCUAAUGCCAAUAUUAGCAUCCACAAUCCACAUUUCUAAAGAACCUCCAUGAAUGAUCAGCAAUGGGUGUGCUGUGGUGGUGCAGGAGUUAAGCACAACCCACAUAUGGAGGCCUUAGUCCUCCACGCGGCCGUUGCAGGUUCGAUUCUCAGCCUGGUGGCCUUUGC